UACAGAGGUCUCAAGCGUUGUUCGGAUUCAUUGGGCGUAAAGGGUGCGUUGGCGGUUUGGCAAGUCUUAUGUGAAAUCUUCGGGCUCAACCCGAAGCCUGCAUAAGAAACUGCCGGGCUUGAGUAUGGGAGAGGUGAGUGGAAUUUCCGGUGUAGCGGUGAAAUGCGUAGAUAUCGGAAGGAACACCUGUGGCGAAAGCGGCUCACUGGACCAUAACUGACGCUGAUGCACGAAAGCUAGGGGAGCAAACAGG
rnacentral:rRNA from 1 species